UAGAGGAAGUAAAAGUCGUAACAAGGUCUCCGUUGGUGAACCAGCGGAGGGAUCAUUACUGAGUUUACGCUCUACAACCCUUUGUGAACAUACCUAUAACUGUUGCUUCGGCGGGUAGGGUCUCCGCGACCCUCCCGGCCUCCCGCCCCCGGGCGGGUCGGCGCCCGCCGGAGGAUAACCAAACUCUGAUUUAACGACGUUUCUUCUGAGUGGUACAAGCAAAUAAUCAAAACUUUUAACAACGGAUCUCUUGGUUCUGGCAUCGAUGAAGAACGCAGCGAAAUGCGAUAAGUAAUGUGAAUUGCAGAAUUCAGUGAAUCAUCGAAUCUUUGAACGCACAUUGCGCCCGCCAGCAUUCUGGCGGGCAUGCCUGUUCGAGCGUCAUUUCAACCCUCAAGCUCUGCUUGGUGUUGGGGCCCUACAGCUGAUGUAGGCCCUCAAAGGUAGUGGCGGACCCUCCCGGAGCCUCCUUUGCGUAGUAACUUUACGUCUCGCACUGGGAUCCGGAGGGACUCUUGCCGUAAAACCCCCAAUUUUCCAAAGGUUGACCUCGGAUCAGGUAGGAAUACCCGCUGAACUUAAGCAUAUCAAUA
rnacentral:rRNA from 1 species